rnacentral:rRNA from 1 species
GAUGAACGCUGGCGGCGUGCCUAAUACAUGCAAGUCGAGCGAACAGACGAGGAGCUUGCUCCUCUGACGUUAGCGGCGGACGGGUGAGUAACACGUGGAUAACCUACCUAUAAGACUGGGAUAACUUCGGGAAACCGGAGCUAAUACCGGAUAAUAUAUUGAACCGCAUGGUUCAAUAGUGAAAGACGGUUUUGCUGUCACUUAUAGAUGGAUCCGCGCCGCAUUAGCUAGUUGGUAAGGUAACGGCUUACCAAGGCGACGAUGCGUAGCCGACCUGAGAGGGUAAUCGGCACACCGGAACCUGAGACCCGGUCCAGACUCCUAGGGGAGGAGGAAGUGGGAAACCUCCCGAAUUGGGCGAAAGCCUACCGGAGAACCGCGGCGUGAGGGAGAAGGGCCUUCGGUUCGUAAACCUCUGUAAUUAGGAAAGAAAAAAUGUGUAAGAACCAAUGACCGCUUUAACGGUCCCAAACAAAAAAGCACCGCCAACCUCCGU